UGCUUUGCUUUGUUUUGGUUUUCUUUCCUUAGCCUUCCCUUUUCUUUCUUUUGCUUUCAUUAGCUUCUCCUUUUGUUUCGUACCUUCUCUUUCUUUCCUUUCCCUUUCGUUUGCAGUACUUUCCUUUUCUAUGCUUUCCCUUGUCUCCCCUUAUCUUUUUGUUUCCUAUCUUCUCCACACUUUCUCUCCUCCAAUCUGGCUGGCCCAGUUUUCCAGGCCAUCUGUCCAUCCAUCAGCAGAGCCUGUCAGAUGGUCCCUCCUCUCAGAAGCGAGGGGAUUCCUCCCGGGCCAAUUGAUUCCACGACGAGGUUAUAUUCCCUGGACUGUGCUGAUCAAUUGAUCGUGAUGGUUUUCCAAUCGUCAGAGGCCACAGUGUGGCCUGAUGAUGAGUCUCCACCUCUUCUUUGAUUCUCCUCUGAGUGGUUCGGAGGAAGGGCAGGAGGUGAAUUGAUCGAGCAGGGUCGUGUUCGGAGGCAGCUGCCCGGCCAUUCGAUGGAAGUCAGGUGGGGACAGCUAGUCCGUCAGCGGGGACACGUGAGAUGGAAUGACAUUACCCGGGUUGGGGGAGGGGAGAGAUGGAGAGAUGGAGGAAGAGAGGGAGAGAGCACAGAUCUCAGCCGAGCUCUGACCUUCAGCAGACCUUCGGGAGACAAUAAUAACCCGACUGCCACACCUCCCUGCACUCCUUUAAUGGUGUGGGCUUUUCUUCUCACCUCCGGUUCACAAGUCCACAAGCGUUUAUUUUUUAAUCAGGGUUUAAUCAUGAAUGUUUGAAAACAACUAAAUCCCAGUUUCUGAAUUUAAAGACCUUGAAUUUAAAUAGGUCUCCUGCAGAUUACAUUUAUUUAAUACCAUUUAGAAAUAGCAAAUAAUAAUCAUAUUAUAAUGGUCAUUAUUUUAGAAAAUUAACCUUAAUUAAUUUCAAAUCAUGUAUCAUGUAAUUCCUGAACGCCUCAGCGUGUACAGGUGGUGGUUGUCAGCUGAGCGAAUGGCUACAUGACAAUUAAAGAUUAAGCACUAGAUAAUGAAUAGAUGAUUUAUUUUAAUUCAAGCACUGUGGGAAGAUUGUGGUCUUGACUAAAUGUUAAUUAACUCAAACUCGAAGAACACGACAGGAUGUGUUUACAUUGACAACAUUUUUCGUUUUUUUGUUGUCAAAACCAACAGAUGGUACAGAAGGGA